AUGUUCAACAAAGCAAGUGGAACUUUAGUGCAGGAGGUUUUUGUACAGACACUGAAUGAGGUUGUAUCACUGUGGUGGACUUUUGAUGGAGGAACUCGACUCUCUGUUGGAAGUGACUCUCGGCCCACCCUCACAGUGUUGCCCCCCACCAGUGUAGAGCUGAAGCAGGGAAAGGCUACACUGGUGUGUUUGGCCAACAAGGGUUUCCCCUCAGACUGGACGCUGAGCUGGAAGGUGGAGGGUAUCAGCCAGACGUCAGGUGUGAGUGUGAGUGGGGGUGUGCUGGAGAAGGGAAACGGCCUCUACAGCUGGAGCAGCACCCUGAGCCUCACUGAGCAGCAGUGGAAGAACAUACGAGCAGUGAGCUGUGAGGCCACCCACAGCCUGACCACACAGCAGUGCACUGAUGUCUGA